rnacentral:rRNA from 1 species
GGUGUGGAUAGGGGAGAAAUUCCAAUCGAACCCGGAGAUAGCUGGUUCUCCUCGAAAUAGCUUUAGGGCUAGCCUCGUAUUAGUCUGGCGGAGGUAGAGCACUGAAUUUCCUAGGGGGCGUCAAAGCCUACCGAAGAAUAUCAAACUGCGAAUGGCGGACAGAUGAUGCCAGGGAGUCAGACUGCACGAGAUAAGUUGGGUGGUCAAAAGGGAAAGAGCCCAGACCUACAGCUAAGGUCCCAAAGUGUGUGUUAAGUGGAAAAGGAUGUGGGAUUUCGAAGACAACUAGGAUGUUGGCUCAGAAGCAGCCACACAUUAAAAGAGUGCGUAAUAGCUCACUAGUCGAGAGGUCCUGCGCCGAAAAUGUCCGGGGCUAAAACACAACACCGAAGCUUAGGAAUUCUAAUGAAUUGGUAGAGGAGCAUUGAAGACGGAACGAAGCCAUACCGAAAGGAAUGGUGGACUGUCUUGAAGAGAGAAUGCCGGAAUGAGUAGCGAGAUUGAAGUGAGAAUCUUCAAGGCCGAAUAUCUAAGGUUUCCAGGGUAAAGCUGAUCUGCCCUGGGUAAGUCGGGGCCUAAGGCAAGGUCGAAAGACGUAGUCGAUGGAUAACAGGUUGAAAUUCCUGUACUGCAUCAAAUCAGAAAUGUGGGGACACAUGAGGGAAGCAUGAGCCGGAAAAGGAAAGUCCGGUACAAGCGCAGCAGAGGACAGAUAGGCAAAUCCGUCUGUCAACUCAAGGGCGCGAUGUGGAGCGAACCAAAGUAGCGAAGCAUGUGGAGCUUGUGUCGAGAAAAGCCGCUAUUGUGUUUGAUGUACCCGUACCGUAAACCGACACAGGUGGAUGAGGAGAGAAUCCUAAGGCCGGCGGGAGAAGCAUUGUUAAGGAACUCGGCAAAAUGACCCCGUAACUUCGGGAGAAGGGGUGCUCCAGAGAUGGAGCCGCAGAGAACUGGCCCAAGCAACUGUUUAGCAAAAACACAGGUCUAUGCAAAACCGAAAGGUGAGGUAUAUGGGCUGACGCCUGCCCGGUGCUGGAAGGUUAAGAGGAGAUGUUAGAGCAAUCGAAGCAUUGAAUUUAAGCCCCAGUAAACGGCGGCCGUAACUAUAACGGUCCUAAGGUAGCGAAAUUCCUUGUCGGGUAAGUUCCGACCCGC